GACGAACGCUGGCGGCGUGCUUAACACAUGCAAGUCGAACGGAAAGGCCCUGCUUUUGUGGGGUGCUCGAGUGGCGAACGGGUGAGUAACACGUGAGUAACCUGCCCUUGACUUUGGGAUAACUUCAGGAAACUGGGGCUAAUACCGGAUAGGAGCUCCUGCUGCAUGGUGGGGGUUGGAAAGUUUCGGCGGUUGGGGAUGGACUCGCGGCUUAUCAGCUUGUUGGUGGGGUAGUGGCUUACCAAGGCUUUGACGGGUAGCCGGCCUGAGAGGGUGACCGGCCACAUUGGGACUGAGAUACGGCCCAGACUCCUACGGGAGGCAGCAGUGGGGAAUAUUGCACAAUGGGCGGAAGCCUGAUGCAGCAACGCCGCGUGCGGGAUGACGGCCUUCGGGUUGUAAACCGCUUUCGCCUGUGACGAAGCGUGAGUGACGGUAAUGGGUAAAGAAGCACCGGCUAACUACGUGCCAGCAGCCGCGGUGAUACGUAGGGUGCGAGCGUUGUCCGGAUUUAUUGGGCGUAAAGGGCUCGUAGGUGGUUGAUCGCGUCGGAAGUGUAAUCUUGGGGCUUAACCCUGAGCGUGCUUUCGAUACGGGUUGACUUGAGGAAGGUAGGGGAGAAUGGAUUUCCUGGUGGAGCGGUGGAAUGCGCAGAUAUCAGGAGGAACACCAGUGGCGAAGGCGGUUCUCUGGGCCUUUCCUGACGCUGAGGAGCGAAAGCGUGGGGAGCGAACAGGCUUAGAUACCCUGGUAGUCCACGCUGUAAACGGUGGGUACUAGGUGUGGGGUCCAUUCCACGGGUUCCGUGCCGUAGCUAACGCUUUAAGUACCCCGCCUGGGGAGUACGGCCGCAAGGCUAAAACUCAAAGGAAUUGACGGGGCCCCGCACAAGCGGCGGAGCAUGCGGAUUAAUUCGAUGCAACGCGUAGAACCUUACCUGGGUUUGACAUGGAUCGGGAGCGCUCAGAGAUGGGUGUGCCUCUUUUGGGGUCGGUUCACAGGUGGUGCAUGGCUGUCGUCAGCUCGUGUCGUGAGAUGUUGGGUUAAGUUCCGCAACGAGCGCAACCCUUGUUCACUGUUGCCAGCACGUUAUGGUGGGGACUCAGUGGAGACCGCCGGGGUCAACUCGGAGGAAGGUGGGGAUGACGUCAAGUCAUCAUGCCCCUUAUGUCCAGGGCUUCACGCAUGCUACAAUGGCUGGUACAGAGAGUGGCGAGCCUGUGAGGGUGAGCGAAUCUCGGAAAGCCGGUCUCAGUUCGGAUUGGGGUCUGCAACUCGACCUCAUGAAGUCGGAGUCGCUAGUAAUCGCAGAUCAGCAACGCUGCGGUGAAUACGUUCCCGGGGCU
rnacentral:rRNA from 1 species